rnacentral:rRNA from 1 species
UACGUAGGGUGCGAGCGUUGUCCGGAAUUACUGGGCGUAAAGAGUUCGUAGGCGGUUUGUCGCGUCGUUCGUGAAAACUUGGGGCUUAACUCCAAGCGUGCGGGCGAUACGGGCAGACUUGAGUACUACAGGGGAGACUGGAAUUCCUGGUGUAGCGGUGAAAUGCGCAGAUAUCAGGAGGAACACCGGUGGCGAAGGCGGUUCUCUGGGAAUAUCCUGACGCUGAGGAGCGAAAGUGUGGGGAGCGAACAGG